GAUGAACGCUGGCGGCGUGCCUAAUACAUGCAAGUCGAGCGGACCAAAGAGAGCUUGCUCUCUGAGGUUAGCGGCGGACGGGUGAGUAACACGUGGGUAACCUGCCUGUAAGACGGGGAUAACUUCGGGAAACCGAAGCUAAUACCGGAUGAUAAAGAGAAACGCCUGUUUCUUUUUUGAAAGUCGGCCUUGUGCUGACGCUUACAGAUGGGCCCGCGGCGCAUUAGCUAGUUGGUGAGGUAACGGCUCACCAAGGCGACGAUGCGGAGCCGACCUGAGAGGGUGAUCGGCCACACUGGGACUGAGACACGGCCCAGACUCCUACGGGAGGCAGCAGUAGGGAAUCUUCGGCAAUGGACGAAAGUCUGACCGAGCAACGCCGCGUGAGCGAUGAAGGCCUUCGGGUCGUAAAGCUCUGUUGUCAGAGAAGAACAAGUACCGGAGUAACUGCCGGUACCUUGACGGUACCUGACCAGAAAGCCACGGCUAACUACGUGCCAGCCGCCGCAGUAA
rnacentral:rRNA from 1 species